AGCACCGCUUGUGUGUCACUGCCUGAGGCCCGCCCAUUCCGGAUCCACUCCUUCCAUUCCUGCAGUUUUCCGAUGGACGAUCAUCAUUGUGACCAUUGGCAGCUGCCGCCUUCUCUUUCCCUCAACGUCCUCUAUGUGAUUUACUGGCGUGUUUGUGUCCGCGGGUGCGUGCGAUUGGAUUUAUGAUGAUGGUGACAACAUAUGAAGGAAGAAUAGUUUGACGUUGGGCCCUACUGUGUUAUGGGAGCCUGCGGGGCAACAUUCCUUGAUGCUGCUGCUUUGUCUGUGUGUUUUUCUGCCACUAACGUGCAUUCGCACUAUUUAUUUGUUUUUUUUAACCUGC